CUGUUGUUGGACACUAAGAUUCUUCUAUAUCUCUACUUUGUCAUUCAUAGCUUUUGCUUCAUCCUUAGGCUCCUUCUUAUGGUCAUAAUACAGCUGUUUGCACAUCAUUAUCCAGGAGAGAAGAUUCACUUCCAUAUCCCCAAGCCCCAUGAGAGGCCUAUGCAUCUUGAACCAACUACUGGAAUUGGGCUGAACUGGCUGAUCUAACAGUUCGCUGAGAUCCCAUUGGAAUGACACCACUUUGCAGAGACGACGGGAAUCAUGAGACUGGGAAGAUGUACGAGAAAGCAGAGAUCAUGGAGAGCUUCACCUCUUGGACAGCGCGUGGCCCUCAAAACACCUACCUUCGUCAAAGACAUGGUAUUUGAUCUAAGUCUUGCUAAACAUAGUGAUUAGGAAAUAGGAAAAGUUUUACUUAAAAGUUAAAAUAUCUUGGGGUGCCUGGCUGGCUCAGUAGGUUAAGCAUCUGCCUUUAGCUCAGUUCAUGAUCUUAGUGUCCUGGGAUGGAGCUCCCAGUCAGGUUCUCUGCUCAGCAGGAAGUCUGCUUCUACCUCUCCCUCUGUCUGCCACUCCCCCUCCUCGUGUGCUUGCUCCCUCUCUAUCAAAUAAAUAAAAUCUUUUUUAAGAAAUAAAAAUUAGC
rnacentral:lncRNA from 12 species